CAGCAGUCAAGAAUAUUAGUCAAUGGCCUAACGGCUGAACCAGCAACUUGGGAGAAUGUAUAGUCCUCUUAUGAGGCUAGUUAUCAUACAAAAGAAAAUGCCCUAAUUUUUGAAAGUACUAAAUACUUUCAAACCUUAGAGUAAGUCUAAUAUACAAAAUAGAGAUAUUAAUAGUAUGAUAAGACCAACUACGUUGGAUAAAGUUCUAGAUAGAAUACUGAUAAUGACAAUUUUUUAUCUAAAUGUCUUGACCAAAUUACGUGCCAGCAGUCGCGGUAACACGUAGAAGACUAGUGUUAUUCAUCUUUAAUAGGUUUAAAGGGUACCUAGACGGCAUUAUUAACCUUAGACAAGGAAAUGUUUUAUGCUAGAGUUUUAUACGAGAAGGGGAGAAUUUAUAGAGUAGCGAUAAAAUGCUGUCAUACUAUAAGGACUGGCAAUGGCGAAAGCGACCUUUUAUGUAAAAACUGACGUUGAGGGACGGAGGCAUGGUUAGCGAACAGGAUUAGAUACCCUAGUAGUCCUUGCAGAGAAUGAUGAAUGCCAUAGAUUAGAUAUUAAUUUGGUUUAUAAAUUAAAGUGUAAGCAUUCCACCUCAUGAGUAAUGUGGCAACGCAGGAACUGAAAUCAUUAGACCGUUUCUGAGAACAGUAGUGAAGUAUGUUAUUUAAUUCGAUAAUCCGCA
rnacentral:rRNA from 1 species